rnacentral:rRNA from 1 species
UACGGAGGGUGCGAGCGUUAAUCGGAAUUACUGGGCGUAAAGCGCGCGUAGGCGGCUAGGUCAGUCGAAUGUGAAAGCCCUGGGCUUAACCUGGGAAUUGCAUCCGAUACUGCUUGGCUAGAAUAUGGGAGAGGGAAGUGGAAUUUCCGGUGUAGCGGUGAAAUGCGUAGAUAUCGGAAGGAACACCAGUGGCGAAGGCGACUUCCUGGCCCAAUAUUGACGCUGAGGUGCGAAAGCGUGGGUAGCGAACAGG